CACGUAGUUAGCCGUCCCUUUCUGGUAAGAUACCGUCACAGUGUGAACUUUCCACUCUCACACUCGUUCUUCUCUUACAACAGAGCUUUACGAUCCGAAAACCUUCUUCACUCACGCGGCGUUGCUCGGUCAGACUUCCGUCCAUUGCCGAAGAUUCCCCACUGCUGCCUCCCGUAGGAGUCUGGGCCGUGUCUCAGUCCCAGUGUGGCCGAUCACCCUCUCAGGUCGGCUAUGUAUCGUUGCCUUGGUGAGCCGUUACCUCACCAACUAGCUAAUACAACGCAGGUCCAUCUGGUAGUGAUGCAAUUGCACUUUUAAGCAAAUGUCAUGCAACAUCUACUGUUAUGCGGUAUUAGCUAUCGUUUCCAAUAUUAUCCCCCGCUACCAGGCAGGUUACCUACGCGUUACUCACCGUUCGCAACUCAUCAGAAGAGCAAGCUCCUCCUUCAGCGUUACUACUUGCAUGUAGUUAGGCUACGCCGCCACGCGUUCCG
rnacentral:rRNA from 1 species